CACUCCACCUACUGCCCUCCAGUUGAGUCAAAUGAAGGUCUGGUAAGAGCUGAACUGUGCCACUCCACCUACUGCCCUCCAGUUGAGUCAAAUGAAGGUCUGGUAAGAGCUGAACUGUGCCACUCCACCUACUGCCC